CGGUUGAUCCUGCCGGAGGUUACUGCUAUCAGGGUUUGAUUAAGCCAUGCAAGUUAUGUGCUUUUUGUAAACACGGCGAACUGCUCAGUAACACGCGGAUAAUCUGCCCUCAGGUUUGGGAUAACCCUGGGAAACUGGGGAUAAUACCAAAUGUUUCAAGGUUGCUGGAAUGCUCUUUGAUUGAAAGCUUCGGUGCCUGAGGAUGAGUCUGCGGCCUAUCAGGUUGUAGUGGGUGUAAUGUACCUACUAGCCAGCGACGGGUACGGGUUGUGAGAGCAAGAGCCCGGAGAUGGAUUCUGAGACAUGAAUCCAGACCCUACGGGGUGCAGCAGGCGCGAAACCUUUACAAUGCGCGAAAGCGCGAUAAGGAGACCCUGAGUGCUAGCACAUAGUGCUGGCUGUCCAGCUGUCUAAAAAGCAGUUGUUAGCAAGGGCCGGGCAAGACCGGUGCCAGCCGCCGCGGUAACACCGGCGGCCCGAGUGGUAACCGAUUUUAUUGGGCUUAAAGCGUUCGUAGCCGGUUUAGUAAGUUUCUUAGGAAAUCUAGCAGCUUAACUGUUAGACGUCUAAGAGAUACUGCUAUGACUUGGGACCGGGAGAGGUAGGAGGUACUCCAGGGGUAGGGGUGAAAUCUUGUAAUCCCUGGGGGACCAUCGAUGGCGAAGGCAUCCUACCAGAACGGGUUCGACGGUGAGGGACGAAAGCUGGGGGCACAAACCGGAUUAGAUACCCGGGUAGUCCCAGCUGUAAACGAUGCUCGCUAGGUGUC
rnacentral:rRNA from 1 species